rnacentral:tRNA from 2 species
UACAAAGCGGUGUUAGGGCACGGAGAAUUUUGAUUUCUUAGGAGAGGUUCGUUAGCCUCCUGG